rnacentral:lncRNA from 1 species
UUUGAUGUUGUUCACUCAACGUUUCUAUUUUUAUUCAAUUAUAAGCAAACAGCAGAAUUAACCCAACAUUCAGCAACUCCAGAUCAGCUUUUCUUACCCCCAUGAAGAGCUAUCAAUUUAACAACCACAGUUGUAAGGAUUCUUAAUAAGCUGUCAAUGAGCACUGCUGCCGGUCUAGAUGGCCAUGCCCCAACAAAAGCAAAGCCACUCUCCCUAAUGCUUUUUCCAGGAUUGCUUUUUAAAGGCACCAGAGCGAGAAGAUUGCAUCAUUACACUCAAGCCUGGGCUUUGCAGUGAGACUUUAUCUCAAAAAAAAAGAUAAAAUUGACAAACCUUUAGUCAGACUAAGGAAAAAAGAGUGGAGACUCAAAUGCGUACAGUCAGAGAUGAAAAAAGAGACAUUGCCACUGAUACUUCAGAAAUUUAAAAGAUUAUGAGAUGCUACUAUGAGCAGUUAUAUGCUAAUGAAUUGGAAAACUUAGAAGAAAUGGAUAAAUUCCUAGAUACAUGCAACCUAUCAAGAUUGUAAAAUGUCUCUUGAUAGAGCUGUUUAAAAAACUACAAGUCUUUACAUGGGGGUUAAGAUUUUCUCUUAAUUUCAUUUAUUGUAGGGCUUUUAGUAAUCUAAAUUUUAUUUUUGUAUAGUCUAGCUAUAUUUUCUACAGGAGAAACAGACUUAGUCUAUAUAUCUCCGUAGGUCUUCUUAGGUUUCCAUGGUAUUACUAAUUGUUAUGUCUAUAGAGUGCUGUGAAACAAUCCUAUCAAUAGUUUCUGGCCAAACACUUGUUUGACUAAGCCACAAAGGCACCUGCUCCAUAGAUAUGAGGAUAUAUUUCUAGAUUGAUGCCUAUCUGGCUACAUUCUGUAGUCUGGGUUUACUGGUGUUAAUUAACUCAGUUUGUGUGUUUCUUUUGUUAUCUAAAUGUAGAUGGUUCUUUAUACCUGGCCAUAGAAUUAUGACUUAUGCAUCUUAUGGUGGUUACCUUGAAAUUAGAACAAACCUGAGCUCUAAUCUGGGGCUGACUUUCCUCAGUCGUCUCUCUACAUUCUGUGUUGACAAUGCUACCAUGUGAAGGCCUAAGGAAUACAAUGUUCAUCAAAUAAUUAAUCAGACUUUGCUCACAUAUGAAUUAGUUCUGUUUGCUGGCCUAUCAAGCAGAAGUAUUUUAAACAGUUGUGAGAAUGACCUUUACCAAAUCAUUUUAAACACAAAUCCAAAAAGCUUCCACCCAUGCAACUGCUUAGGAAGUUGAACUGGCUGGAGCUGGUAGACACACAGUAAAGGAUAAGUACAUGUGUCUUAACCUAUUUAUUAGGCAAUUAUUCUCACAGCUAACCUAGCAUGUAGUUCACUAUAAUUUCAGAGAGUUUGCAUAGCUGUCCUCAAAUUGCUCAGUUGUCAAAAAAAUGUUUUGUGUUUUUUUUGUUCCACCUAUGAUUUCCAGGUUACUGAGUCAUUCCAUAAUCUACCAAACUGGUAAAUUCAGAGUUUCUAAAGACCAGGAGUGUGCUUUUAAUCACAUGCAGAACCAUUUAAUGUUUAGGAUCAA